AUUCCAGCUCCAAUAGCGUAUAUUUAAGUUGUUGCAGUUAAAAAGCUCGUAGUUGGAUUUUGGUUAAGAGGGCGCGGUCGGCCGUUUGGUCUGUACUGCGUUGUCUUGACUUCCUGAUGAGGACAUGCUCUUGGUUAACGCUGAGACAUGGAGUCAUCGUGGUUACUUUGAAAAAAUUAGAGUGUUCAAAGCGGGCUUACGCUUGAAUAUAUUAGCAUGGAAUAACACUAUAGGACUCCUGUCCUAUCUCGUUGGUCUCGGGAUGGGAGUAAUGAUUAACAGGGACAGUCAGGGGCACUCGUAUUCCGCCGAGAGAGGUGAAAUUCUCAGACCAGCGGAAGACGAACCACUGCGAAAGCAUUCGCCAGGGAUGUUUUCAUCA
rnacentral:rRNA from 1 species